CAGACUCCUACGGGAGGCAGCAGCUAAGAAUCUUCCGCAAUGGGCGAAAGCCUGACGGAGCGACGCCGCGUGAACGAUGAAGGCCGUGAGGUUGUAAAGUUCUUUUCCUGGGGGAGAAUAACAGCCGGAGGGAAUGCCGGUUGGAUGACGUGAACCAGGGAAUAAGCCCCGGCUAAUUACGUGCCAGCAGCCGCGGUAACACGUAAGGGGCGAGCGUUGUUCGGAUUUAUUGGGCGUAAAGGGCGUGUAGGCGGUAGUGCAAGUCUGGUGUGAAAUACCCCGGCUCAACCGGGGAGGCGCGCUGGAAACUGUGCUGCUUGAGUCUAGGAGGGGGAGCUGGAAUUCCUGGUGUAGGGGUGAAAAUCUGUAGAGAUCAGGAAGAACACCGGCGGCGAAGGCGAGCUCCUGGCCAUAGACUGACGCUGAGGCGCGAAAGCGUGGGGAGCGAACAGGAUUAGAUACCCUGGUAGUCCACGCUGUAAACGAUGUGCACUAGGUGUUGGGACUGAUGAAAGUCUCGGUGCCGUAGCUAACGCGGUAAGUGCACCGCCUGGGGAGUAUGCUCGCAAGGGUGAAACUCAAAGGAAUUGACGGGGGCCCGCACAAGUGGUGGAGCAUGUGGUUUAAUUCGAUGAUACGCGAGAAACCUUACCAGGGCUUGACAUAGGCUUGACGGCUGUAGAGAUACAGCUUCCCUUCGGGGCGAGCUUACAGGUGCUGCAUGGCUGUCGUCAGCUCGUGCUGUGAAGUGUUGGGUUAAGUCCCGCAACGAGCGCAACCCUUGUCGUCUGUUGCCAACAGGUAAUGCUGGGGACUCAGGCGAUACUGCCGGUGACAAACCGGAGGAAGGUGGGGACGACGUCAAGUCAUCAUGGCCCUUAUGUCCUGGGCUACACACGUGCUACAAUGGCCGGUACAGAGCGAGGCGAAACCGCGAGGUGGAGCAAAUCGCAGAAAGCCGGUCUCAGUUCGGAUUGAAGUCUGAAACCCGACUUCAUGAAGGUGGAAUCGCUAGUAAUCGCGCAUCAGCACGGCGCGGUGAAUGUGUUCCCGGGCCUUGUACACACCAGCCCGUCACACCACCCGAGUUGGGGGUACCCGAAGUCGCUUGUCCAACCGGCAACGGAGGA
rnacentral:rRNA from 1 species